UGCCUAGAAAUACUAUGAUUGAUUAGCCAGU
rnacentral:piRNA from 1 species